GGGUUGUGAGGUUAAGCGACUAAGCGUACACGGUGGAUGCCCUGGCAGUCAGAGGCGAUGAAGGACGUGCUAAUCUGCGAUAAGCGUCGGUAAGGUGAUAUGAACCGUUAUAACCGGCGAUUUCCGAAUGGGGAAACCCAGUGUGAUUCGUCACACUAUCAUUAACUGAAUCCAUAGGUUAAUGAGGCGAACCGGGGGAACUGAAACAUCUAAGUACCCCGAGGAAAAGAAAUCAACCGAGAUUCCCCCAGUAGCGGCGAGCGAACGGGGAGCAGCCCAGAGCCUGAAUCAGUGUGUGUGUUAGUGGAAGCGUCUGGAAAGGCGUGCGAUACAGGGUGACAGCCCCGUACACAAAAAUGCACAUACUGUGAGCUCGAUGAGUAGGGCGGGACACGUGGUAUCCUGUCUGAAUAUGGGGGGACCAUCCUCCAAGGCUAAAUACUCCUGACUGACCGAUAGUGAACCAGUACCGUGAGGGAAAGGCGAAAAGAACCCCGGCGAGGGGAGUGAAAAAGAACCUGAAACCGUGUACGUACAAGCAGUGGGAGCACGCUUAGGCGUGUGACUGCGUACCUUUUGUAUAAUGGGUCAGCGACUUAUAUUCUGUAGCAAGGUUAACCGAAUAGGGGAGCCGAAGGGAAACCGAGUCUUAACUGGGCGUUAAGUUGCAGGGUAUAGACCCGAAACCCGGUGAUCUAGCCAUGGGCAGGUUGAAGGUUGGGUAACACUAACUGGAGGACCGAACCGACUAAUGUUGAAAAAUUAGCGGAUGACUUGUGGCUGGGGGUGAAAGGCCAAUCAAACCGGGAGAUAGCUGGUUCUCCCCGAAAGCUAUUUAGGUAGCGCCUCGUGAAUUCAUCUCCGGGGGUAGAGCACUGUUUCGGCAAGGGGGUCAUCCCGACUUACCAACCCGAUGCAAACUGCGAAUACCGGAGAAUGUUAUCACGGGAGACACACGGCGGGUGCUAACGUCCGUCGUGAAGAGGGAAACAACCCAGACCGCCAGCUAAGGUCCCAAAGUCAUGGUUAAGUGGGAAACGAUGUGGGAAGGCCCAGACAGCCAGGAUGUUGGCUUAGAAGCAGCCAUCAUUUAAAGAAAGCGUAAUAGCUCACUGGUCGAGUCGGCCUGCGCGGAAGAUGUAACGGGGCUAAACCAUGCACCGAAGCUGCGGCAGCGACACUAUGUGUUGUUGGGUAGGGGAGCGUUCUGUAAGCCUGUGAAGGUG
rnacentral:rRNA from 1 species